rnacentral:lncRNA from 1 species
AUGGUAUGUAUAGUAACAAGGUGUCAAAUAACUGUUUAUGCUGAAAAUAAAGUACGAAAAUAAAAUAAAAGAAAAAAUAAACUUAAAUAUAAAAACACACUAAAAUAGUAAAAAUAAUAGAAUAAACUAUAGAAAUUCCUAAGCACAAUUAUAGAAAAAUGUGCAUCAAAAUGCACUUAUCAAAUUCCCUCACACUUGAACUUUUGCACUCCGAGCAAAAUUACAUUUUCAAAACAAAAGGA